rnacentral:rRNA from 1 species
CACCGCCCGUCACAUCACGAAAGCUGGCUGUACUAGAAGUAGUGCCGCUAACCCGCAAGGGGGCGCAUUCCUAAGGUAUGGUCAGUGAUUGGGUG